GAAAAUAACUCAGAGUCGCUACCUGGCAUUUGAUUUCAGUGUGCCAGGCUACCGAUAUUUAGAAAAUAUUUUCCUUUUAAAACACUUAGACUCAAAACUAAGUCCGCACCAGAGAUUCAGGUAAGGAGGUUCAUUUGACUCGGGGAGAAGGUGUUAGGCACUCCCCAAGUCCCGUGAAGAUCACGGUUGCAUACUUGAUCUAGUUAGCUUUUUACAACAUUCAAAUUGAGAUAAAAUCACAGAAAGCAAACACACAUGAAGCUCGAGAUCGUCCCCUCCUAAUAAAAUAAAAUAAAACAAAAUGAAAUUAGUAUAACUAGCCUAUACUAUGCCUCCAUUGAUGUUGCCGUGGCCUCCAAAUACAAGUAUUUCGGGUCAUUCCCCGGGUUAAAAUAUUUACAAAGUCCACCGGCCAUUCCCGGGAUAAAUAAUUCAACUAAGGGAAAACCUCUCACCUCGAAACCAAAAGCAAAUAAAAAUCCUAAGAUUGCCUACCCAUGUGUGGUCGGCCUAAAGCAUGCUCCUAGCGACUUGAAAAGAAAGUAAAUUAAGCUAAAAUAAAGAUCAAGUGUGAUUUAACCCUCCUUCGCCAAAUGUCGCCGUUCAAAUAAGAGAUGUACACAAAUAAGAGUGACGGAAUUUCAAACAGGACAACAAUCCAAACGAGACACGAAUAAAGAAGUAAAAGACGAUGAAAAUAGCAAGGCAAAAUAAAAUAAAAUAAAAAACUCAAAACAUAAAAGACAAUUGGCAAAUUAACUAUAAAGCUUUCACAGUAACUCACAUUGGUAGAGCAAAAUGCAUCACUGCCGUUGAGCAUUGACAUUAUUAGUAACUUUUAAGCACUACCACAUAGAGAACAUAGAUCUUUGUUAUAGAGAGUGUUUUAGACAUGCUAAAGGUGUUAAUGAACAAGCAAACUGACGCCAGGAGUAAAGGAAAAUUCUUACCAUACAAAUAUGAUUUCAAGUUUCAAAAGUAGAUGUAAAUAACAAAUAGUUGGAGGAAACACUACCACGCCUUUCAUUGAGAACCAGAGUUAACCAAAAAGAUAGAGAAACGCGUUCUAAAAUCACUCCAUAUACUCGUCAACUUAAACCUAUUCCAUAGAUUCAAGAAUUGAGAUUCAUUUAGAAAGGAAAAGUCCAAACAUGUGAAUUUAAGGUCUAAAGUGAGACCUCAAGCAGUGAAGCUAAAAUCAAUAGGCUCCAUAAUCACAAUAGCGGAAUAGGAAAUAUUCAACAUAAGACCCAAAUUCAACCGACGCCUAGAUUCGAUUAUUUAUCUCUAAAACAUGUAAAGAAAAUUCAGAUUUCUAAUCAUAUUUCGAACCAUCAUUAACCGAGUAAGAAAAGGAAGACGAACCUGGAAAUUAAUCUUUCGAUUAAUUCUGUAGGAAUCGAGUACAACAGAAGAAGACUUGGCGACGAAUUUGAGAGCGAAAAUAGCUAAUGAAAAUCCAAUCAACAACAAAGCAACAGGGCAGGGAACCAACUCAGACACGGAUCAAAACUCGAACGACGAACUCGACCUCGGAUCAAUUGAUCUCUAUGUCAAAAACAACAAUAACGAGAAGAAGAAACUAAAUAUAUAUUUUUUUGUUUUUGGAAAUUUUUCUGAUUUUCGAAAAUGGAACAACACUCGAACAAAAAUGAAACUCAAACUAUUUUUGUAUUUUUUGGAAUGGCAAUUAUAUGCGAAACAGAAAAUCUGAGGAGAAAAUCCAAAAAUAACCAAGAACACUAGUGUUUUUUUUCCGAAUUUUUCUCUCUAAUUUCUGUCUGAGAACCUCAGUCUCAAAAAACCUCUAAAAUAUAUAUCACAUCCUAGAAGCUUCUUCCCUCUUCUCCAAAAAAUUCCAAAAUCGUGAGGCCCCCCAAAUACCAAAAAUCCGAAAAUUCUUUUCAAAAAAUAAAAAUCGAAAAAAUUGAGAUUGUUGGACGAAAAUUUCAUCGAACGAUUCCCAUUCUUCCCGAGUUUAUUCAAGGGUUCGAAUUUGUGUUUAAACAAAAGAAAUAAAAGAAGAUAUCCCACACAAAUCGGACUGAAAUGAUGAUAUUCGUUAGAAUUUUGCUAUGUGGAAGAAAGAGAAGAGAGAAGAGGCGGACCAUGAGGGUACCCGUGGGUUAACUCGACGGGUUGGCGAGUUUUCCAGCGAGUUUGGGCGCGGCAGAAGAGGAGAUGGUAAAGGGGAGUGGCGGCUGGUCUUGUUAGAUUAGGAUUAGGGUUUUUGAGAAAUAUUGGGUUUAUAUUUGGGGGUGUGGGGA
rnacentral:lncRNA from 1 species